rnacentral:rRNA from 1 species
GAUGAACGCUGGCGGCGUGCCUAAUACAUGCAAGUCGAGCGAACAGACGAGGAGCUUGCUCCUCUGACGUUAGCGGCGGACGGGUGAGUAACACGUGGAUAACCUACCUAUAAGACUGGGAUAACUUCGGGAAACCGGAGCUAAUACCGGAUAAUAUAUUUAACCGCAUGGUUCAAUAGUGAAAGACGGUUUUGCUGUCACUUAUAGAUGGAUCCGCGCCGCAUUAGCUAGUUGGUAAGGUAACGGCCUACCAAGGCAACGAUGCGUAGCCGACCUGAGAGGGUGAUCGGCCACACUGGAACUGAGACACGGUCCAGACUCCUACGGGAGGCAGCAGUAGGGAAUCUUCCGCAAUGGGCGAAAGCCUGACGGAGCAACGCCGCGUGAGUGAUGAAGGUCUUCGGAUCGUAAAACUCUGUUAUUAGGGAAGAACAAAUGUGUAAGUAACUAUGCACGUCUUGACGGUACCUAAUCAGAAAGCCACGGCUAACUACGUG